rnacentral:rRNA from 1 species
UACGUAGGGGGCGAGCGUUGUCCGGAUUUACUGGGCGUAAAGCGCGUGUAGGCGGCUGGAUAAGUCGGGUGUGAAAGCCCGGGGCUCAACCCCGGGAUGCCGCCCGAGACUGUUCGGCUUGAGGUCGGAAGAGGGGAGUGGAAUUCCAGGUGUAGCGGUGAAAUGCGUAGAGAUCUGGAGGAACACCCGUGGCGAAGGCGGCUCCCUGGUCCGAUUCUGACGCUGAGACGCGAAAGCGCGGGGAGCGAACGGGAUUAGAAACCCCAGUAGUCC